rnacentral:lncRNA from 1 species
AUGAUGCCUGCCACCCAGUCUGAGUCUACAGGGACCGGUCCCCCCAGAUUAUAUGUUCUGUUUCGAUUCUACGAUCCCGAGGUGAUAGCGGUACUUACGAUAUUAGUUGGGCUUUUCCAAGUGAUCCUGGCAUUUCCAGCUUACUAUUUGAGCAUUGAUGUAACUUUCCUCUAUUGGUGCCCAAUCUGUGUUGGAGCGAUGCAUGUAACAGGAGGAUCACUUGCAUUUGUAUGUGAAAGAUCUCCCAGCAAGAAGAUGCUGAAAAACUGCCUGUAUUCAACACUCUGUGGGCUGUUUUUAGGAUUUUGCGCAAUUAUCUUGUAUGGCUUCUCAGCUAACAGCAUUCUGUCUUUGGAAACUUGUACACCGCAAGACCUUCAGAGAAGUUCUGAGUGCCCACGAGACGCAUUUGUUGACUUUUUCAGGCACUAUGUACUGUUGAUGGGGAUUUAUGCGGUAGCAGCUAUCUUUCUUCAGUCUUUUCUGUCAAUUUCAGCCAUAAAAGCUCUGAGAUUAAACUGAAAUGCACAUGUCUAUAAUGUGUAUAGGAAAUAUAAUCACAUAUACACAAAUAACAAACUGAUAAUACCAAUUAUUUGUGUUUCAUAAUGUAAAUAUGAUAUCAAACUAGAAGCAACAGAUACAGCUUUAUACAGAAUGGCUUCUGUUGUGAUCUGUAAGGUGGGAGUAAACAGAGCAUAGACAAGUCAUUUCAUCAACCUGGUCCCAGAUGGCGUCAUAUGCUCAGUUAAUAUUUGUUAAUGUCCAGAGAACACUGUUUUUUACCUGUAAACAAAUGUUUCACGUUGUUCAACAUUUAAAAAAAAAAACAAUUUUUAUGCAAAUAACAUUUAUAGUAAAUGUAUAACAGAGUCAAUUGUGACAGGGCUGAAUAUUUAAGAACAAAACUCAACACCACACCCCCUGUAAUCAAGCUUAAACCUUAAAAUAUCAUUUGUAGAUGACAUCAGUUAUUCAGUUAAGAUUCAUGAGUCACUGUUUCUCUUAGGCUCAAAUUAUGUCAUUUAAACUUUACCGGGACACUUAAUGUGACAGAAUAGGAUUUUUAAGUUUAAAUAAGUUGCCCUAAGGAUCAAGUUUAUGUUAAAAUCCCAGUCGUAGAUUUAGAGAGCAAAACUGGCCAUAAACAGAAAUCUAUACACUAUACAUUGCCAUCUUAUAAACUGUUUGAUGAAUGUAUUUGUGAUUUUUUUAUACACUGUUUUAUUGUUUUUUGGAGAAAAAAUGUGUUAAUAAAUGAUAUUGAGUCUAAUUGUCUGUCUAUAGU